GAGUUUGAUCCUGGCUCAGGAUGAACGCUAGCGGCAGGCCUAAUACAUGCAAGUCGAGCGGUAACAUUGGUGCUUGCACCAGAUGACGAGUGGCGCACGGGUGCGUAACGCGUAUGCAAUCUACCUUUUACUAGAGUAUAGCCCAGAGAAAUUUGGAUUAAUCCUCUAUAAUAUCUUUUAAUUUCAUGAUUUUAAGAUUAAAGUUUUAACGGUAAAAGAUGAGCAUGCGUCCUAUUAGUUUGUAGGUGAGGUAACGGCUCACCUAGACUACGAUAGGUAGGGGCCCUGAGAGGGGGAUCCCCCACACUGGUACUGAGACACGGACCAGACUCCUACGGGAGGCAGCAGUAAGGAAUAUUGGACAAUGGACGAAAGUCUGAUCCAGCCAUGCCGCGUGCAGGAUGAAAGCCCUACGGGUUGUAAACUGCUUUUAUACAGGAAGAAACACUCCGACGUGUCGGAGCUUGACGGUACUGUAAGAAUAAGGAUCGGCUAACUCCGUGCCAGCAGCCGCGGUAAUACGGAGGAUCCAAGCGUUAUCCGGAAUCAUUGGGUUUAAAGGGUCCGCAGCCUGUUUUUUAAGUCAGAGGUGAAAUCCUACAGCUCAACUGUAGAACUGCCUUUGAUACUGAAAAACUUGAGUUAUUGUGAAGUGGUUAGAAUGUGUGGUGUAGCGGUGAAAUGCAUAGAUAUCACACAGAAUACCGAUUGCGAGGCAGAUCACUAACAAUAUACUGACGCUCAUGGACGAAAGCGUGGGGAGCGAACAGGAUUAGAUACCCUGGUAGUCCACGCCGUAAACGAUGGAUACUAGCUGUUCGUCUAACAUUGGUUAGAUGAGUGGCUAAGCGAAAGUGAUAAGUAUCCCACCUGGGGAGUACGGUCGCAAACUGAAAACUCAAAGGAAUUGACGGGGGCCGCACAAGCGGUG
rnacentral:rRNA from 1 species